rnacentral:rRNA from 1 species
UACGUGGGUGGCAAGCGUUGUCCGGAUUUAUUGGGUUUAAAGGGUGCGUAGGCGGUUUUGUAAGUCAGUGGUGAAAUACUCUAGCUUAACUAGAGGGGUGCCAAUGAUACUGCAGAACUUGAGUACAGAUGAGGUAGGCGGAAUUGACGGUGUAGCGGUGAAAUGCAUAGAUAUCGUCAAGAACACCUAUAGCGAAGGCAGCUUACUGGGCUGUAACUGACGCUGAGGCACGAAAGUGUGGGGAUCAAAC